rnacentral:lncRNA from 10 species
AGACCAUUGCUGAUGCACAUCUGAAAUCUUCUGAACACAUUUCCCAGUGACCCCGAACACUAUUAUGAAGUAUACCUUCAGUCACAAGGCCCCACUGCCCUUGCAUUCCACAGGAAGUCCCAGUUGCUGGCAUGACCUGAGAGGUUCCUGGGACCACGCCAUGGAAAUGCGUCCGGUCCCAGUGUGACGGGGAAGAGCCGCGCCUGAAGCUCAACUUCCGAGGCUCUCAUCAAUCUACGCUUCCUUUGGAGCGUGCAGCCACCAGGUGGCAGCCGAGGCCACGGGCAGACAGAAAAGCUCCCGAAACUGAAGGACUGCCAGGCAGCAGAGUUCCGGAGGGCUCCCAGGACCUUCAACCAGAAAGAGACAGAGCAUAUGCGCAUAUGUAUGUCUGAGCCCGUGCACGGAGGAGGAGUAUGAACAGACACCGCGGGACAGAUGGCUGGACCCUGCAAGGAAUGUACUAUAGAGCCAAUUUUACCGGCAAAGGAAUGGAAGAUCUGAAAGGCUAGGCGAUCCCACAAGCAUCGAGGAGCAGGCUGGAAUUUGAACCAAUCGGCAUGAUUCCCAAGCUCAAGCUUUUGGCCACCCCUGCACUGCCAGGGACAAAAAAAAAAAAAAAAAAAAACCCUGGGAGGAGAGCCAAGCUAGGGAGUCAAGACCCUCCAGCCAGGUCUGGAUGGGAGGCAGGUGCCUCCACCCUGGUCCCAGAGCAAGUUCUGCUGGCUUCAGCCACCUGACUUCCCUGUGAAGGUGGGUAGAGGCCAGAGCAGACUGUGUGUGAUUCUGGCCCCAGCCCCAGCACCUCUACCCCCACCUUUACUACCCCUAGGCUGCGGGAAGAGGCUUUGCCCAGCAAUAGUCCUGAUCUAAUGGAUCCUUGAAGCACAAUAAACAGAUAGUAUUUCUGCAUGUGUCACUCUGAGUAUGACGGCAGUAAUCUUGAAACUCCCCUUGAC